UACGUAGGGCGCAAGCGUUAUCCGGAAUUAUUGGGCGUAAAGAGCUUGUAGGCGGUUUGUCGCGUCUGCUGUGAAAAUCCGAGGCUCAACCUCGGACUUGCAGUGGGUACGGGCAGACUAGAGUGCGGUAGGGGAGACUGGAAUUCCUGGUGUAGCGGUGGAAUGCGCAGAUAUCAGGAGGAACACCGAUGGCGAAGGCAGGUCUCUGGGCCGCAACUGACGCU
rnacentral:rRNA from 1 species